GAUAAACGCUAGCGGCAGGCCUCAUACAUGCAAGUCGAGGGGCAGCAUAACACUUCGGUGUUGAUGGCGACCGGCGAACGGGUGCGUAACACGUAUGUAACCUACCUUGUACAGGAGAAUAGCUGCUGGAAACAGCAAUUAAUGCUCCAUAUCUCUUAUUACCACAAGAUAGUAAGAUGAAAGCUCCGGCGGUACAAGAUGGGCAUGCGUCCUAUUAGCUAGUUGGUAAGGUAAUGGCUUACCAAGGUUACGAUAGGUAGGGGGUUUGAGAGAAUGAUCCCCCACACUGGCACUGAGACACGGGCCAGACUCCUACGGGAGGCAGCAGUAGGGAAUAUUGGACAAUGGGCGCAAGCCUGAUCCAGCCAUGCCGCGUGCAGGACGAAGAUCCUAUGGAUUGUAAACUGCUUUUGUACAGGAAAAAUAAGUCCUUGAGAGGACCCAUGAUGGUACUGUAAGAAUAAGCACCGGCUAACUCCGUGCCAGCCGCCGCGGUAAUAC
rnacentral:rRNA from 1 species